rnacentral:rRNA from 1 species
UACGGAGGGGGCUAGCGUUGUUCGGAAUUACUGGGCGUAAAGGGCUCGUAGGUGGCCAACUAAGUCAGACGUGAAAUCCCUCGGCUUAACCGGGGAACUGCGUCUGAUACUGGAUGGCUUGAGUUUGGGAGAGGGAUGCGGAAUUCCAGGUGUAGCGGUGAAAUGCGUAGAUAUCUGGAGGAACACCGGUGGCGAAGGCGGCAUCCUGGACCAACACUGACACUGAGGAGCGAAAGCCAGGGGAGCAAACGGG